GACGAACGCUGGCGGCGUGCCUAAUACAUGCAAGUCGACCUUAGUGGCGAACGGGUGAGUCCCACGUGGGUAACCUGCCCAUCAGAAGGGGAUAACACUUGGAAACAGGUGCUAAUACCGUAUACUGAUGGAUGGACCCGCGGUGCAUUAGCUAGUUGGUGAGGUAACGGCUCACAAAGGCCACGAUGCAUAACCAGCCUGAGAGGGUGAUCGGCCAGAGUGGGACUGGGACACAGCCCAAACUCCUACGGGAGGCAGCAGUAGGGAGACUUCGGCAAUUGACGAAAGUCUGACCGAGAAACGCCGCGUGAGUGAAGGAGGUUUUCGGAUCGUAAAACUCUGUUGUUAGAGAAGCGGUAUCUAACCAGAAAGCCACGGCUAACUACGUGCCAGCAGCCGCGGUAAUUC
rnacentral:rRNA from 1 species